CUCGUCGGCCACUCUCAAGGUGAGAUCGACCGCCUGCUGAGCGUGGAUCUGCGUGCAGACCACCGUGCCGUGCUGGAAGUGGACUGACAGGCAGAACUCGGCACACCACUGGGGAAUCUGUUUCAAAACAAAGAGUCAGCUCUUCCCUUUCUCUCAGCAGUUUGUAAAACCUGGAGGAAUAAGGCAGUCCAUCAAACUGAUUGAGCUCCAGAAUGUCAUCAUACUCUUUGUCUCCUGGACUCAAAGCGUCUGAACAACAGGGCGAACAGUCCUCUGCAGCUAAACUGCUGAUGUCCUCCGCCAUCGAGCUGCCAGUCCGUCCGGUUCAGACUUCAUUUACACGUCCGCAGAAGUGAAGUUUGGAGAUCUCCAGCUCUCACCAAGAACUGAAGAGCGGCGCCAGAACAUGAAGACCUGUAAAACUGAGAGGUUAGAACAAAAGUCUGCUGUGUUCUACUUUCAGCCUCCAGCAGGGUCCAACAGAUUUACAAUGUGAGCCACUGUCUGAUUUUUCUUCGCGUCUGAACUACAGUAAACAUGGUGAUCAUGGUCCUGGAGUGAAGUGAAGGUCCUGGAAGAUACAUACAGCCUGUUUAUUUAUGAAGAUGAAGAACAUUUUCCUCAUGUUUAAUCAGGUGUGGCAGUGUUGAACAAACCACGACAGGCUGCAGCAGCAGACUGAAGAAGGCAGAGAGGACCAUCGAAAAGGAAAAGGUCAAAGAUUGGAGGCACAGUUUCACACAGCGAGUCACCAGGAAGCUGACGCACACGUCUG